CACACAAACUUAACCACUAAGCCACGGAUGGGCGGGCAGCCCCUCUCCAUCUUGCUCUACUCCCGGGGCCUGGACCAGAAGGAGCAAGCUGCUCUGACGGUGGGCUUGUGCAUGCGCUAUGACAGACCAAGUCAUCUGCUUUCCUCGCCUGGAGCCCUCUCUCCUCCAACGUGUCCAGCUGGCUUAGGCAAGUGACCAAUCAUAGCAUAUCAUUGUAUUUUCCAUACGGUAGUUAAAAUAAUAAAUCUGAGCAUAUGGAAAAUAAAUUUAACAGUAAUACUAUCUAAGGUAACUGUAUUCAUCGUGGUGAGUUGUUUAAUUGCUUUAAGAUCCACUACCAUACUGGAUCUGUGGACAUGGCAUUUUUAUUGCUUUAAUAAACAUAUUUCUUAAAUUACAUCC
rnacentral:lncRNA from 1 species